AAAAUGUAAUUACUUGUAUGAGAGUAUAAACAUAUUACACUAUACAUAUAUCAAAUCAUAUCUUAUUUUUUAGAUGUAAAGAGAGAAAAAAUAUGGUUGAAACUCCGAAAUAAAGAUUGUCCAAGUGUGAAAAAUUAUAUUGGUAGGUGUCGUAAAGGCUACUGCCAAGCGAGCAAACUGAGAUGAAUGAGUUCCUGCUCUAGAAAAAGAAUUGCAAUUUCUUUUAUGCCAGAAUAUUUGAGGAGUUGUCAUUUAGUUUUUGUGCAUGCACCAAAUAAUUGUAUUGUUUUUCAAAUUUCAUGGACCUUGAAGUUAUGAAUUUUACUACUAUGAAAAGCAAAAUUAGGAAGAGAAAUUAGUUAAGAAAAAAUAAAAUCCCUCACAAAUUCCUUGAUUGCAAAAUUUACUGAAGGAAUUAGAGAGGGAUUUAAUAAAUGCCUCUUGAGCAUAUCAGUGUGUUGUAUUUAUCCUAUUCACAUUAAGAAAGAAGUUCAAAUAAUAAAUUUGAUAA